rnacentral:rRNA from 1 species
CUCCCUCGUUGCUGAUCUCAGGUUCGAUAGUGCCAAUGAGACACUACCUCGCCAAGAACCAACUUCGAUGAAGCGACGGGCGGUGUGUG